rnacentral:rRNA from 1 species
AGUGAACGCUGGCGGUAGGCCUAACACAUGCAAGUCGAACGGCAGCACAGUAAGAGCUUGCUCUUACGGGUGGCGAGUGGCGGACGGGUGAGGAAUACAUCGGACUCUACUUUUUCGUGGGGGAUAACGUAGGGAAACUUACGCUAAUACCGCAUACGACCUACGGGUGAAAGCAGGGGAUCUUCGGACCUUGCGCGAUUGAAUGAGCCGAUGUCGGAUUAGCUAGUUGGCGGGGUAAAGGCCCACCAAGGCGACGAUCCGUAGCUGGUCUGAGAGGAUGAUCAGCCACACUGGAAGUGAGACACGGUCCAGACUCCUACGGGAGGCAGCAGUGGGGAAUAUUGGACAAUGGGCGCAAGCCUGAUCCAGCCAUACCGCGUGGGUGAAGAAGGCCUUCGGGUUGUAAAGCCCUUUUGUUGGGAAAGAAAAGCAGCAGGUUAAUACCCCGCUGUUCUGACGGUACCCAAAGAAUAAGCACCGGCUAACUUCGUG